rnacentral:rRNA from 1 species
AUUGAACGCUGGCGGCAGGCUUAACACAUGCAAGUCGAGCGGAGAUGAGGUGCUUGCACCUUAUCUUAGCGGCGGACGGGUGAGUAAUGCUUAGGAAUCUGCCUAUUAGUGGGGGACAACAUUCCGAAAGGAAUGCUAAUACCGCAUACGUCCUACGGGAGAAAGCAGGGGAUCUUCGGACCUUGCGCUAAUAGAUGAGCCUAAGUGGGAUUAGCUAGUUGGUGGGGUAAAGGCCUACCAAGGCGACGAUCUGUAGGGGGUCUGAGAGGAUGAUCCGCCACACUGGGACUGAGACACGGCCCAGACUCCUACGGGAGGGAGCAGUGGGGAAUAUUGGACAAUGGGGGGAACCCUGAUCCAGCCAUGCCGCGUGUGUGAAGAAGGCCUUAUGGUUGUAAAGCACUUUAAGCGAGGAGGAGGCUACUGAGACUAAUACUCUUGGAUAGUGGACGUUACUCGCAGAAUAAGCACCGGCUAACUCUGUGCCAGCCGCCGCAGUAAAAC